GCUUAGCCCUAAACCCAAGUAGUAUUAUAAUUAACAAUAUUACUCGCCAGAGCACUACUAGCAACAGCUUAAAACUCAAAGGACUUGGCGGUGCUUUAUAUCCCUCUAGAGGAGCCUGUUCUGUAAUCGAUAAACCCCGAUAAACCUCACCAGCCCUUGCUAAUACAGCCUAUAUACCGCCAUCUUCAGCAAACCCUAAAAAGGAACCAUAGCAAGCAAAAUCAUGCAACAUAAAAACGUUAGGUCAAGGUGUAGCCUAUGAGCUGGGAAGAAAUGGGCUACAUUUUCUAGCAUAGAACACAAACGAAACUUUUCGUGAAACCGAAAAUGGAAGGAGGAUUUAGUAGUAAAUUAAGAAUAGAGAGCUUAAUUGAAUAAGGCCAUGAAGCAC
rnacentral:rRNA from 1 species